UACGAGGGGUGCAAGCGUUAUUCGGCAUUAUUGGGCGUAAAGGGUGUGUAGACGGCUUAUUAAGUCAACUGUUAAAUUCUCCGGCCUAACCGGAGGUCUGCGGUAGAUACUGAUUGGCUAGAGGGUGGAAGAGAGAAGUGGAAUUCUCGGAGUAGCGGUAAAAUGCGUAGAUCUCGAGAGGAACACCGAUGGCGAAGGCAGCUUCUUGGUCCAUUUCUGACGUUGAAACACGAAAGCGUGGGGAGCAAACAGG
rnacentral:rRNA from 1 species